GAUGAACGCUGGCGGCGUGCUUAACACAUACAAGUCGAGCGAGUGAGUUCUUCGGAACGAUCUAGCGGCGGACGGGUGAGUAACACGUGGGCAACCUGCCUCAUAGAGGGGAAUAGCCUCCUGAAAGGGAGAUUAAUACCGCAUAAAAUUAUCGAGUGGCAUCACAUGAUAAUCAAAGGAGCAAUCCGCUAUGAGAUGGGCCCGCGGCGCAUUAGCUAGUUGGUGAGGUAACGGCUCACCAAGGCGACGAUGCGUAGCCGACCUGAGAGGGUGAUCGGCCACAUUGGGACUGAGACACGGCCCAGACUCCUACGGGAGGCAGCAGUGGGGAAUAUUGCACAAUGGGGGAAACCCUGAUGCAGCAACGCCGCGUGAGUGAUGAAGGUCUUCGGAUUGUAAAGCUCUGUCUUUGGGGACGAUAAUGACGGUACCCAAGGAGGAAGCCACGGCUAACUACGUGCCAGCCGCCGCAGUAA
rnacentral:rRNA from 1 species